rnacentral:rRNA from 1 species
AGUGGACGCUGGCGGUAGGCCUAACACAUGCAAGUCGAACGGCAGCACAGUAAGAGCUUGCUCUUACGGGUGGCGAGUGGCGGCCGGGUGAGGAAUACAUCGGAAUCUACUUUUUCGUGGGGGAUUACGUAGGGAAACUUACGCUAAUACCGCAUACGACCUACGGGUGAAAGCAGGGGAUCUUCGGACCUUGCGCGAUUGAAUGAGCCGAUGUCGGAUUAGCUAGUUGGCGGGGUAAAGGCCCACCAAGGCGACGAUCCGUAGCUGGUCUGAGAGGAUGAUCAGCCACACUGGAACUGAGACACGGUCCAGACUCCUACGGGAGGCAGCAGUGGGGAAUAUUGGACAAUGGGGGCAAGCCUGAUCCAGCCAUACCGCGUGGGUGAAGAAGGCCUUCGGGUUGUAAAGCCCUGUUGUUGGGAAAGAAAAGCAGCAGGUUAAUACCCCGCUGUUCUGACGGUACCCAAAGAAUAAGCACCGGCUAACUUCGUG